rnacentral:rRNA from 1 species
GAUGAACGCUGGCGGCGUGCUUAACACAUGCAAGUCGAACGAAGCAGUUUAUUACGAUCCCUUCGGGGUGACGAUUUACUGACUGAGUGGCGGACGGGUGAGUAACGCGUGGGUAACCUACCUUGUACAGGGGGACAACAGUUGGAAACGACUGCUAAUACCGCAUAAGCGCACGGUUUCGCAUGAUACAGUGUGAAAAGUUUUUUCGGUACAAGAUGGACCCGCGUCUGAUUAGCUAGUUGGUGAGGUAACGGCUCACCAAGGCGACGAUCAGUAGCCGACCUGAGAGGGUGACCGGCCACAUUGGGACUGAGACACGGCCCAAACUCCUACGGGAGGCAGCAGUGGGGAAUAUUGCACAAUGGGCGCAAGCCUGAUGCAGCGACGCCGCGUGAGCGAAGAAGUAUUUCGGUAUGUAAAGCUCUAUCAGCAGGGAAGAUAAUG